AACUUAAUGGAGGAAGCAUAUAUUUUGGCUUUCAGUCCAUCAUGGCAGAGUCCAUUGCAGUAGCUGCAUCUGGGGAAGUUGGGGAGGAUCUGGUCUCUGCUUGCUGGACCUCUUACAUACCUGCCCUUCCAUCCUGGCCAGGAUCACAAGGAAAGAGUGGAACUUGGCUUUGGGCUGGCUAUUGGCUACUAGCUAUACUCCUGCUGGCUACAUUCAUAAUGAGUGUAAGGCCCCUCAGACCAUGGUGUACCAGGAAUCAGAGACACAGGGAACCAGAGGCUGGGCAAUGAUCUUCAAAGUCCUGCCUCUUGUGACCUACUUCUGCCAGUCCAGGCCCCAUCUCCUAAAGCCCCACACCCUACCUCAACAGCAACACCGGCUAGAGAACAAGGGCACAGCAUGUGAGUCUGUGGGGACAGCUCCGUUCAGAAGGGUUCGACCAUGCAUUUUCAUAGACUCAGUACACACUCAGCAUUUACAUCUGGAGCCCUUGAACCUUUAAGACCCACCAAAUGAUAAACUGAGGCCAGGAAAUCCAUUCCCAGAAGCCCUCAGACUUGCAACCCCAGCCCUUGGGAGGGCAAGGCAGGAGGAUUGCUGGAAUAUGAGGACAGAUUGAGGCCUCAGAAAUACAGACUAAGAAAGAAGCCUGAUGGCCAGUGUAGGUUUUCUGUCUUCAGUCUCCUGGGCAACCAUGCUAAUCUUUUGCUUUCCUGCUGUUCUCCACCUGUGUACAGGUAAAACCAGGCUGAACAAAGCCUCCCUGUCCCUACCUGGUUUUUCUGGCCAACUUCCAAUCCCCCACCUCUACGGCCUGGAGUUCAGGUAGACAAAAUAAUAAUCUCUGGUGGGGUUGCUGUUGCAAUGCCCGUUCGCUGGCACCAGGCCAGGCUCUUAGGAACUGCGUCAGAAAAUGCCAGUGAGUGAAAUUCCAAAGCAGUGUGAGUCACCAGGGACCCAGGAGGACAGGCCAAGUCCUACCAGGAGUCUGAGGGCAGCUAAAUGGGCCUCCAAGGGAGGCAGAAGCUAGGCCAGGCACCAGGAACACUUACCUGGACAAAAGCAAGAACAGGUAGUUUAUCCUGGGCUCUGUACAGGCCUAGAGGUGGGGAUAGGGUAGGGAGGGGUGGGGUGUAAGAGCAGGAGGCCAGCCCCCAGGCCAUCUCCUGGUUACCAGAGCAUUUACCUGCUUUCUCAUAGGCUAGGAUUUGUAUCCCAGCCUUAAAAUCCAAUAGGUUUCUAAACACAUCCCCUUCCCCUCCAACAACCUGGCCCAGUCUACCACUGUCUACAGACAAGAAAUAGUGACAGGCCAGCUGGGCCUCUAAAGAGACACAGCAGGUAAGUUUAUGUCCCUUGGCACUGUACUGGAAGAAGGGAAAGGGUUCUCUCACCCCAGCUCCUCUGCUUUUAGUAUUGGGUCUCUUAUGAAAGGUUUCAGACAGAUGAAGAAAAAGAGUGGGUGGUUGAGAAGCCUGGUGCUGAAUCUGUCAGUCCGUAGCAUCCUUUGAACUGUGGUCCAGCAGCUACCUGUGGCUUCCAGAUUAGAAUAGGAGACAAAGGACAUUUGCCUGCUGUGGAUGUCACCAGCAGGAACAUAGCUGGUAGCCAGUGGCCAGUGCAAACCUGGGUUCCAUUCUUUCCUUGUGACUCUGGCCAAGAUGGGAAGGAAGGUAUGGAAGAGAUCAUUGGGUAAGCAGGCGCCAGACUCCCCCCUGGUCCCCCAACUUCCCCAGACCAUUGAAUUCUUAUUCAUCAAAGAGAACACAGGGUGGGAUGGGCCACAUUAACAGUUGUGAUGUUGGGGCCACCUUGGUCUUCAAGGGUCACCUAAUCUCCUGCCUCUCCUAAUCCUUAGGGCCCCUGCCUAUGCCUCAUGUGCUCCAGGAAAGUGUCUUCUGUCCUAGUGUUUCCAGCCUUUGGGAUAGAUUUGCAUCUUCUGACUCCCAAUCCCUGGAUGGCCUUCCAUACUUUGGGAACUCUCAAUCCUUUAGGCAAUAGAAUCUGUGGACAGAAAGAGAUAGAUCAAUAGCCCAAAUUCUAACUCCCCCCACUUCCCUGCCCUGAACCCUUACAAUUUGUUCCUCUUUCCAUUCCCAGCUGACCAAGAGCAUGCUGGCUUCCAGCAAACACCCCAUUCCUGCCCAGAGGAUUGGUCCCUUGCAGUAGUAGCUGAGAGAGAGGCUCUUUCGAUCUCUAGGAGGAAUAGCACAGAGAUCAGGCCUGAGCCUGAGGCUUCUUGGGACUUGCAAGUGUCCCCGCUGGGUAAUUCAGCCAUUCGAAAACCAGCCCUGGAAAGAAUGAGGUUCUGAGGAGAUCAGAGAUGCUACAGCUGCCGACGUUCUCCCAUCACUGUAGUUCUCUCAAGAAACUUCAGCUCAGUAGUCCCUCCGGCCAGACCUUUGAGCAAUGUCCCUUAGGGUCCUCGGUGUCCUGCCUACUCACCUUGUAAGCUAUCUUCCACAUCUAUUCCCAGCCCUGUGGUCCUCAACUCAUGUUUGCUGAGUCCUAAUUUGCUCUGGAGCUGCUCCCAUGCAAAGAAUGACUGACUGCAUCUAACCUUCCAUGCUUCCCAGCACCCUUAUUGGAUCUUCCUUCCCUUUUGCCACUUCCACCAGGAUCCUGGAGGGAAUCCAGCAUCAUGGGAAGACAAAGAAAAGGCUGGUAUAGCCCAUGGGAGACCUCUCAGAACAACACAAAUCUGUAAGACUGCAAUGAGGCGGGCUGGAGAGAUGGCUCAGCGAUUAAGAGCACCCGACUACUCUUCCAGAGGUCCUGAGUUCAAUUCCCAGCAACUACAUGGUGGCUCACAAAUAUCUGUAAAGAGAUCCAAUGCCCUCUUCUGGUGUAUCUGAAGACAGCUACAGUGUACUUAUAUAUAAUAAAUGAAUAAAUCUUUAAAAAAAAAAAAAA